rnacentral:rRNA from 1 species
GACGAACGCUGGCGGCGUGCUUAACACAUGCAAGUCGAACGGAAGCGCCCUGCUUUUGUGGGGUGCUCGAGUGGCGAACGGGUGAGUAACACGUGAGUAACCUGCCCUUGACUUUGGGAUAACUUCAGGAAACUGGGGCUAAUACCGGCUAGGAGCUCCUGCUGCAUGGUGGGGGUUGGAAAGUUUCGGCGGUUGGGGAUGGACUCGCGGCGUAUCAGCUUGUUGGUGGGGUAGUGGCUUACCAAGGCUUUGACGGGUAGCCGGCCUGAGCGGGUGACCGGACAAAUUGGGAUGGAGAUACGGCCCAGACUACUAUGGGACGGAACGGUGGAGAGGAGUGUAGUAUGGGCGGGAGGAUGAUGCAACAACGCCGCGUGGGGGAUGAGGGGCAGCGGGUAGUAAACCACAUCCGUCUUAGACGAAGUGUGAGUGACGGUAAUGGGUAAAGAAGCACCGGCUAACUACGUG